rnacentral:rRNA from 1 species
GGGUUGUGAGGUUAAGCGACUAAGCGUACACGGUGGAUGCCCUGGCAGUCAGAGGCGAUGAAGGGCGUGCUAAUCUGCGAUAAGCGCCGGUAAGGUGAUAUGAACCGUUAUAACCGGCGAUACCCGAAUGGGGAAACCCAGUGUGACUCGUCACACUAUCAUUAACUGAAUCCAUAGGUUAAUGAGGCGAACCGGGGGAACUGAAACAUCUAAGUACCCCGAGGAAAAGAAAUCAACCGAGAUUCCCCCAGUAGCGGCGAGCGAACGGGGAGGAGCCCAGAGCCUGAAUCAGCAUGUGUGUUAGUGGAAGCGUCUGGAAAGGCGCGCGAUACAGGGUGACAGCCCCGUACACAAAAGCGCAUGUGCUGUGAGCUCGAUGAGUAGGGCGGGACACGUGGUAUCCUGUCUGAAUAUGGGGGGACCAUCCUCCAAGGCUAAAUACUCCUGACUGACCGAUAGUGAACCAGUACCGUGAGGGAAAGGCGAAAAGAACCCCGGCGAGGGGAGUGAAAAAGAACCUGAAACCGUGUACGUACAAGCAGUGGGAGCCCCACCACUAAGCCAGUGGUGAACUCCGCAUACGCAUCCUUUGCUGAGGAUACGGUUAACGGAGCGAAAGCGACGUUCAACCUCAAAAGAAGCAGAGGGGGCUUAGUGGUGGGGUGACUGCGUACCUUUUGUAUAAUGGGUCAGCGACUUAUAUUCUGUAGCAAGGUUAACCGUAUAGGGGAGCCGUAGGGAAACCGAGUCUUAACCGGGCGUUAAGUUGCAGGGUAUAGACCCGAAACCCGGUGAUCUAGCCAUGGGCAGGUUGAAGGUUGGGUAACACUAACUGGAGGACCGAACCGACUAAUGUUGAAAAAUUAGCGGAUGACCUGUGGCUGGGGGUGAAAGGCCAAUCAAACCGGGAGAUAGCUGGUUCUCCCCGAAAGCUAUUUAGGUAGCGCCUCGUGAAUUCAUCUCCGGGGGUAGAGCACUGUUUCGGCUAGGGGGUCAUCCCG